rnacentral:tRNA from 1 species
AUGGCUGAGUGGUGAAGCACUUGACUUCUGAACCGAGGAGUCCCAGGUUCGAAUCCUGGU